CGUUCACAUGACGCGAGCGGGCCGUGGGCAAGGACGGUGCCUCCAAAGGGACAAACUUCGUGGCGCAGCCUCCGCGUUGUGUCCAGGAUGACAUCUUUACGCGCCCGUCACCGCGAGCCGGGCGGAGGUUCUGCUGCCUGUGCAACAGGCGAGGGGACGGCGCGGAAUGCCGCCGUAAGAGGGAGGCCUGCAGUCGUCCCUCGGAGCCGGCCUCCUGGCCUGUCCCUUUGUCUCCUCCAUAAAGACCUUUGGAUUACAAUUCCACCGACUCCAAGAAGUCGGGCCAGACCCUGUUGAAGUUUUACAACAACCCGGGCGGUCCGACGGGGCCUCAUACAGGCGGUGGGGCAGAGAGAGACAAGAGAGACACAGGACCCCGGUGAAGGGUCCCCAGGCUUAUAGGGGAAAAGACUGGACACAGGGACUAGAGGACGAGAUGGAACAAUGCUAAUAGCGUCUACGAACUUAGUGAAGUGUUACUGGUCCUUACUUCAGAGUAGAGAAUGUCGUGAAGACAAGAUGACCCAUCUAGUUCUGCACAUCCUGCCAUGAAGAGCGGAGCGAGAAGCUUUUUUGUUGGCUGCCACCGUCUCUCUUGGAAUCUGAAUUUAGCUUCGGGAGCUUACCUAUUGUUACAACACUGAAUUACCCUCUUGUAAGACCUUGGACAAGUCCUCUAAUGCCUUGAUAUCUCAGAUUUUUUUCAAUUCUCCCUGAAGAUAAGAAUAGUAUCCACCUCAUAGCAGUGGUGUGGGAACUCCAUGAGACGAUGCAUGUGAAGGCCCUCACACAGUCUCUGGGGCCACCGCAGACAGUGAACAGGUGAGAGCUACUAUUGUUGCCAGGACCUCAGGAAAUGAUAGCUGAGGCAAAGUUGAACUAGACUGUCAUUCAGGGCUCUUAGUUGCAAGCAACAGAAGCUGACUUUGGCUUAUAGAGUAGGAAAGGAAAUUUUAAAAUGACACUGGGUAGCUCACGGUUACCCAAUUGUUGGGAGGGCUGGAGAGCUCAGUCUAAGCUUCCAGUGACAAAGCUCCAAGCCCACCAUGCCACCCCUGCCACUGGUCUCGUGGCAGCCCACAACAGCUUGCGGCACCAAGGCCAUUACUGUGGCAGGAACCUAACCCUAUGCCCGCUACGCCCCCGAAGCCAGACCCCCCCUGCUGCUGCCCUUGCCAGCAAAGUGGAAUUUUCCCAGAGCCUCUGAAUUGAAGUCUUGUGUGGGACAGGAGGACUCCCGGUGAUUUAUUAAGAAGGUGAAAUUAUGUGCCCAGCUGGGAACUCUGGGGAGCUCUUGCUGAAAUUGAGCGUUUUGGAGCCAGAUUUACACGGCAGAAUGGACCUGGGACUGCUCCUUUUGGCAGAAGCUGCUGGGCCACUGUGGAUGAUCUUUCCCACGUUGCACGAUGUCCCCAAAGCCCUUGGAGCCAUGCUCAGCCCCAUCCUGGUAUCCCCUGUGUCCCUCGUGCCUCUGCCAUGGAGGUCCAGCCACUUUACUUGGCUGUGGGUCUCAACAACUUGCAGGUGAAUCCAUCUAUCCCCCCUUCCAGCCUGGCUUGGCCCCCUACUCAUAAGCACUUACACAGUAUUUCACAAAGAAAAUGUCUGCUGGCUGUGUCCCAGACUCUUGAAUGUCAGCUCACAUUAGUCAUGGCCACGGAUGCGGCUGGAAUCUUGCUGACCAGGUCCCAAAGGUCUCUGCUGGUCUGCACUCCCCAUGCUUGGGUUGGAGGGCACUGCGGAGGGUUUGGAUGGUGAGUGUGGGCACCUCCCAGCUGCACCAUUUCCUGGCAUCCACCAGGCUGCCUCACGUCCACUCUAGACCCUCGGUCUCAGCAGGGGAAACCAAAAAUCUCUCCCUAGCACCACAAUCAUCUUUUGCUGGCUGCUAAGCACCCUUGCUCUGAAAACAAUAACCAACCACCAUAAAAACAGUAGGUCUGCCUUCUCUGUCUAAGCAUGUACUGUGUAGGUGCUUUAGGGAGAGCACCAGAGGCCAGGGAGGAUAAUUUGUCCAAGGACACCAGCUAAGAUGGGACAGAAUGAGGAUUAUUAUUAGUUCUAAAUAAUUCCAAUACUCAUGUUCUUUUUUAUUAUUCCCUUUCCCACUCUUUUAUAAUUAUUCUAAAGUAACACUUACUUCAUUUUCUAUUACCGAAAGAAUGUGUGCGCAAAUAGAAAACAGAAAAUGUAGAAACGUAUGAAGACAAAAGAACCACCAAGACAAAUAAACCAAACCCAGGGUCAUUAGCAGUUCCUCCUUGCCAAGAUAAAAUGUGAACAUUUUAGUUCCUCUCUUUUCCAUCUUGUUCUUUGUGUGUGUCCAUGCCUUCACACACACACACACACACACACACACACACACACACGUGUAAAAUGGGGAUUACAUUGUAUAUUCUUUUUUGUUUCCAGCUUUUUCCACUUAGCCAUAUAAUGUUAACAUUUCCCCACAUCAAUAAAGGAGCUUCAGUCCUGGGCUCAUUAACUCAUCCAAAGUAUGUUCUGCCCAACUUUGUUUUCUUCUGUGUCCAGCCAUAUGCCUCCUCUCUGGGCUGCACCCCAGGGGGAC